rnacentral:rRNA from 1 species
AGUGAACGCUGGCGGUAGGCCUAACACAUGCAAGUCGAACGGCAGCACAGUAAGGGCUUGCUCUUACGGGUGGCGAGUGGCGGACGGGUGAGGAAUACAUCGGAAUCUACUUUUUCGUGGGGGAUAACGUAGGGAAACUUACGCUAAUACCGCAUACGACCUACGGGUGAAAGCAGGGGAUCUUCGGACCUUGCGCGAUUGAAUGAGCCGAUGUCGGAUUAGCUAGUUGGCGGGGUAGAGGCCCACCAAGGCGACGAUCCGUAGCUGGUAUGAGAGGAUGAUCAGCCACACUGGAACUGAGACACGGUCCAGACUCCUACGGGAGGCAGCAGUGGGGAAUAUUGGACAAUGGGCGAAAGCCUGAUCCAGCCAUACCGCGUGGAUGAAGAAGGCCUUCGGGUUGUAAAGCCAUUUUGUUGGGAAAGAAAAGCAGCAGGUUAAUACCCCGCUGUUCUGACGGUACCCAAAGAAUAAGCACCGGCUAACUUCGUG